AGUCGCGCUUCCACCAAGUGCAGCGGGCGCAGCAAUACGCUCAGCGGCAGUACGGGUGCAGCUAACGCGCUGGGAACGCUACCAUUUUGGCUUCGGAACAACACAGGGUAAACUUGUGCUAAUACCGGAUAAUCCCUUACGGGGAAAUAUAUUCUUCCCCUUUUCCCCCUGACUUUCAUAGAACAGUUACUCUCCCAUGCAUAAUAUCCACAAGAGCUACCACCUCCCUCCUACCCCUUUUAUUCAUCUGUUAACCUUCCCUACAUUCAUCUGACCAUGAUCAAACUCUAAUCACUUUCCAUUCCCGCCCUCCUGCACGUCAACCUUUACCACUCCCAUUCCCUAUAUAUCUUAUUCUUUCUUGCCCCCAAUUACAUUCUAAUCAUUCAUACUUUCCUG
rnacentral:rRNA from 1 species